rnacentral:misc_RNA from 1 species
GAUGAAGAACGUAGCGAAAGGCGAUAAGGAGUGUGAAUUGCAGAAUUCAGUGAAUCAUCGAAUCUUUGAACGCACAUUGCGCCCCUUGGUAUUCCAUGGGGCAUGCCUGUUCGAGCGUCAUUUGUACCUUCAAGCUCUGCUUGGUGUUGGGUGUUUGUCUCGCCUCUGCGUGUAGACUCGCCUCAAAAUAAUUGGCAGCCGGCGUAUUGAUUUCGGAGCGCAGUACAUCUCGCGCUUUGCACUCCUAACGACGACGUCCAAAAGUACAUUUUUACACUCUUGACCUCGGAUCAGGUAGGGAUACCCGCUGAACUUAAGCAUAUCAAUAAGCGGAGGA